UACGUAGGGUGCGAGCGUUAAUCGGAAUUACUGGGCGUAAAGCGUGCGCAGGCGGCGCGUUAAGACAGGUGUGAAAGCCCCCGAGCUUAACUUGGGGAAUUGCGCUUGUGACUGGCGUGCUGGAGUGUGGCAGAGGGAGGUGGAAUUCCACGUGUAGCAGUGAAAUGCGUAGAGAUGUGGAGGAACACCGAUGGCGAAGGCAGCCUCCUGGGCCAGCACUGACGCUCAUGCACGAAAGCGUGGGGAGCAAACAGG
rnacentral:rRNA from 1 species